UACGUAGGGGGCGAGCGUUGUCCGGAGUUACUGGGCGUAAAGCGCUUGUAGGCGGUCCACCAAGUUUGGGGUGACAGUUGCCGACUUAAUCGGCAAAGUGCCUCGAAGACUGGCGGACUUGAGGGCCACAGAGGGACAUGGAACUCCAGGUGUAGUGGUGAAAUGCGUAGAUAUCUGGAAGAACACCAAAGGCGAAGGCAGUGUCCUGGGUGGUCGCUGACGCUGAGAGGCGAAAGCCAGGGGAGUGAACGGG
rnacentral:rRNA from 1 species